ACUCCUACGGGAGGCAGCAGUGGGGAAUAUUGCACAAUGGGCGCAAGCCUGAUGCAGCCAUGCCGCGUGUAUGAAGAAGGCCUUCGGGUUGUAAAGUACUUUCAGCAGUGAGGAAGGUGGAUAUGUUAAUAGCAUAUUCAUUUGACGUUAGCUGCAGAAGAAGCACCGGCUAACUCCGUGCCAGCAGCCGCGGUAAUACGGAGGGUGCGAGCGUUAAUCGGAAUUACUGGGCGUAAAGCGCAUGCAGGUGGUUUGUUAAGUCAGAUGUGAAAGCCCGGGGCUCAACCUCGGAAUUGCAUUUGGAAACUGGCAAACUAGAGUACUGUAGAGGGGGGUAGAAUUUCAGGUGUAGCGGUGAAAUGCGUAGAGAUCUGAAGGAAUACCGGUGGCGAAGGCGGCCCCCUGGACAGAUACUGACACUCAGAUGCGAAAGCGUGGGGAGCAAACAGGAUUAGAUACCCUGGUAGCUCU
rnacentral:rRNA from 1 species